rnacentral:tRNA from 1 species
GUGGCAGGUAGCUCAAUGGUAGAGCGCCAAAAUCAUCUUUGUUCACUCCUUGCCUGCAAAGGCCGAAGAAUGAGGGUUAUCGACUCAUAAUCGGGAGGGCUGUAGGUUCGAUUCCUAUCCUGCCACACCA